CGUAGGUGGUAGUGAAAGUCUAUGGUGGAAUCUUAGGGCUUAACCCUAAAACUGCCUUGGAAACUUCAUUACUUGAGUCAGUGAGGGGAGGGUAGAAUUCCUGGUGUAGCGGUGAAAUGCGUAGAUAUCAGGAGGAAGGCCGGUGGCGAAGGCGGCCCUCUGGCGCUGAACUGACGCUGAGGCGCGAAAGCGUGGGUAGCAAACAGGAUUAGAUACCCUGGUAGUCCACGCCCUAAACGGUGGGUACUAGGUGUAGGGCUCGUAAGGGUUCUGUGCCGAAGGGAAACCAUUAAGUACCCCGCCUGGGGAGUGCGGCCGCAAGGUUGAA
rnacentral:rRNA from 1 species